rnacentral:rRNA from 1 species
GACGAACGCUGGCGGCGUGCUUAACACAUGCAAGUCGAACGGAAAGGCCCUGCUUUUGUGGGGUGCUCGAGUGGCGAACGGGUGAGUAACACGUGAGUAACCUGCCCUUGACUUUGGGAUAACUUCAGGAAACUGGGGCUAAUACCGGAUAGGAGCUCCUGCUGCAUGGUGGGGGUUGGAAAGUUUCGGCGGUUGGGGGUGGACUCGCGGCUUAUCAGCUUGUUGGUGGGGUAGUGGCUUACCAAGGCUUUGACGGGUAGCCGGCCUGAGAGGGUGACCGGCCACAUUGGGACUGAGAUACGGCCCAGACCCCUCCGGGAGGCAGCAGUGGGGAAUAUUGCACAAGGGGCGGAAGCCUGAUGCAGCAACGCCGCGUGCGGGAUGACGGCCUUCGGGUUGUAAACCGCUUUCGCCUGUGACGAAGCGUGAGUGACGGUAAUGGGAAAAGAAGCACCGGCUAACUACGU